UUAGACUUAGUAAAGCAUCUUUUUCCGUUUUUGUAAACUAUUUAGGGAUCGUGGGCUGUUGCAAGACACUAUACAUAUGUGUGUUGAGCAGCAUGUUGCCAUGUUUUUGAACACAGUGGGACACAACCUUAAAAAUAGGUUAGUUGCCAAAUUUUGGUAGAUCCGGUGAAACAGUCAGCCGCUAUUUCAACAAAGUGCUUCAUGCUGUUGGAGAGCUACUGAAUGAGUUUAUUAGGCCACCAUCUUCAUCAACCCCAACUAAAAUCUUUGGGAACCCGAGGCGGGAUCCAUAUUUUAAGGAUUGCAUUGGGGCCAUUGAUGGCACACACGUAAGAGCCUCAGUUACCAAGGACAUGGAGGCUUCCUUUCGUGGUAGGAAGAAUCAUGCUACACAAAAUGUAAUGGCAGCCGUUGAUUUUAAUCUUCGGUUCACAUAUGUCUUGGCUGGUUGGGAGGGGACAGCCCAUGACGCAUUAGUUUUACGGGAUGCUUUAGAGCGUGAAAAUGGGCUUCAGGUUCGACAAGAUAAACAGAUAAUUCAUGUAGCUUAAUUUGUUCAACAUGGCAUAUAUUGUUAUUAGAAAUAUCACAAAACUGUCCUUCAUAUGCUAGGCAAAUUCUAUUUAGUUGAUGCCGGAUAUGGAGCAAAACCAGAAUUCUUGCCUCCUUUCCGUGGUGUAAGGUACCACUUGAAUGAGUGGGGGAACAAUCCUGUACAAAAUGAAAAGGAGCUGUUCAACCUUAGGCACUCAUCUCUUCGUGUUACAGUAGAGCGUGCAUUUGGAUCACUCAAGAGGAGGUUCAAAAUUCUCGAUGAUUCCACUCCCUUCUUUCCCUAUCCAUCUCAAGUUGAUAUUGUGGUUGCUUGCUGUAUUAUUCACAAUUGGGUUAUACAAGAUGGGGGUGAUGAACUAAUCAUAGAAGAGAACAAUUGGAUUCCCCUUACUCAUGCUUCAACAUCAAGUGGGCAAGCAAGAGAUCAUGAAUGGAUGGUUAAUUUUAGGCAGCAAAUUGCCAAUCAUAUGUAGGAAGACCGUCAAAGCCACUACGCCAACAAUUAGUGAAAUCUGCAUUUUCAGUUACAUAUGUCAUGAUCUCUUAAUUAUAUAUGUAACUGUGAUAUAUAUGUAAUUGUGAUGUAUACUAUUAUUCUAUUGUUUAUAUGUGGGUUAUGGUUGAUCACUGGUGGUAAACUCACCAGAAGAGAGAAGUGGGUGAC